rnacentral:rRNA from 1 species
CGGAAGGGGCAAGCGUUGUUCGGAAUCAUUGGGCGUAAAGGGCGUGUAGGUGGUUCUGUAUGUCUACCGUGAAAGCGUACGGCUCAACCGUAUUUAGUCGGUAGAAACUGCAGGACUUGAGGCUGGGAGGGGCUGGUGGAAUUCCCCGUGUAGCGGUGAAAUGCGUAGAGAUGGGGGAGAACACUCGUGGCGAAGGCGGCCAGCUAGACCAGUUCUGACACUGAGGCGCGACAGCGUGGGGAGCAAACAGGAUUAGAUACCCUGGUAGUCCACGCUGUAAACGAUGGGCACUAGGUGCUGGCGGUCUUGAUCCCGUCGGUGCCGGCGCUAACGCAGUAAGUGCCCCGCCUGGGGAGUACGGUCGCAAGGCUG